rnacentral:rRNA from 1 species
UACGUAGGGAGCGAGCGUUGUCCGGAUUCAUUGGGCGUAAGGAGCUCGUAGGCGGCUUGGUAAGUCGGAUGUGAAACCUCCAGGCUCAACCUGGAGUCGCCAUCCGAUACUGCCAUGGCUAGAGUCCGGUAGGGGCCCACGGAAUUCCUGGUGUAGCGGUGAAAUGCGUAGAUAUCAGGAGGAACACCUGCGGUGUAGACGGCUAUCUGGACGGUUACUGACGCUGAGACACGAAAGCGUGGGUAGCAAACAGG